UUGCUGGAACGCGCCUCGGCGCACCCAGAAACCCUUUGUGAACUUAUACCCAUACUGUUGCCUCGGCGCAGGCCGGCCUUUUUCGAUAAAGGCCCCCUGGAGACAGGGAGCAGCCCGCCGGCGGACAACCAAACCCUGUUUCUAUAGUGAAUCUCUGAGUAAAAAAACAUAAAUGAAUCAAAACUUUCAACAACGGAUCUCUUGGUUCUGGCAUCGAUGAAGAACGCAGCGAAAUGCGAUAAGUAAUGUGAAUUGCAGAAUUCAGUGAAUCAUCGAAUCUUUGAACGCACAUUGCGCCCUCUGGUAUUCCGGAGGGCAUGCCUGUUCGAGCGUCAUUUCAACCCUCAAGCCUGGCUUGGUGAUGGGGCACUGCCCGUGAAAGGGCAGGCCCUGAAAUCUAGUGGCGAGCUCGCCAGGACCCCGAGCGCAGUAGUUACAUCUCGCUCUGGAAGGCCCUGGCGGUGCCCUGCCGUAAAACCCCCAACUUCUGAAAAUUUGACCUCGGAUCAGGUAGGAAUACCCGCUGAACUUAAGCAUA
rnacentral:rRNA from 1 species